ACUACUAGGACAUAAUUUGAUACUUAAUGGGCAUUUGUAUUACUAUUUAUAUUUUAUAUGUCCAUGAAUCAUCUAAGAGAUUAAUAAAAUGAUGACACAUAUUCUCAAAGAGUUAAGAAUUUGAGACAUGUGUCAUUGAUAGUUAAUUCUUAAAUUAUUUUUGAUAAUAAGAUCAUCAUGGGGGUGGUGAUUGAUUAGAU
rnacentral:lncRNA from 1 species